GAUGAACGCUGGCGGCGUGCCUAAUACAUGCAAGUCGAGCGAACGGACGAGAAGCUUGCUUCUCUGAUGUUAGCGGCGGACGGGUGAGUAACACGUGGAUAACCUACCUAUAAGACUGGGAUAACUUCGGGAAACCGGAGCUAAUACCGGAUAAUAUUUUGAACCGCAUGGUUCAAAAGUGAAAGACGGUCUUGCUGUCACUUAUAGAUGGAUCCGCGCUGCAUUAGCUAGUUGGUAAGGUAACGGCUUACCAAGGCAACGAUGCAUAGCCGACCUGAGAGGGUGAUCGGCCACACUGGAACUGAGACACGGUCCAGACUCCUACGGGAGGCAGCAGUAGGGAAGCUUCCGCAAUGGGCGAAAGCAUGACGGAGCAACGCCGCGUGAGUGAUGAAGGUCUUCGGAUCGUAAAACUCUGUUAUUAGGGAAGAACAUAUGUGUAAGUAACUGUGCACAUCUUGACGGUACCGAAGCAGAAAGCCACGGCUAACUACGG
rnacentral:rRNA from 1 species